CACGUAGGGCGCAAGCGUUGUCCGGAAUUAUUGGGCGUAAAGAGCUCGUAGGCGGCUUGUCACGUCGAUUGUGAAAGCCCCGAGGCUUAACCUCGGGUCUGCAGUCGAUACGGGCUAGCUAGAGUGUGGUAGGGGGAGAUCGGAAUUCCUGGUGUAGCGGUGAAAUGCGCAGAUAUCAGGAGGAACACCGGUGGCGAAGGCGGAUCUCUGGGCCAUUACUGACGCUGAGGAGCGAAAGCGUGGGGAGCGAACAGG
rnacentral:rRNA from 1 species